rnacentral:rRNA from 1 species
AGGCUGAAACUCGCCUAUAUGAAGUCGGAAUUGCUAGUAAUCGCGGAUCAGCAUGCCGCGGUGAAUACGUUCCCGGGCCUUGUACACACCGCCCGUCACACCAUGAGAGUCGAUAACACCCGAAGCCUGUAGUCUAACCACAUGGGGGACGCAGUCGAAGGUGGGAUUGAUAAUUAGGGUGAAGUCGUAACAAGGUACC